GUUGGAAGGUGUGUGGAAUUUGGCAAACCGAUGUCAAUUCUUGCAUUGUGGCUGAACGAAUUAGUAGAAGGCAACAAGUUGAGCUCUUAAUCCCCCAGUUGCAGUUUCUUUGAUGAUCAAGGUGGAGUUAACUACAUCGGACUUGUGUGAGCUGGAACAUAUGGAUUGAUAGUACUACUGUGCAGGAACAUAUGGAGCUGGAGAAACGGUACCGGGAACUUACGGAUUUGUUGUUAGAGGUAAUGACAAGCGAAAAGGCGGCAGCGGAGUUCCAAUUAGAAAAGGAGAUGAAGCGUAUUAAAGAAGCUCAGAUUCAUUAUUGUUUCUAUUCAUUGCGUAUACUUUUAUAUAUGCGAAGGUAGAAGUAGAAAGAAGCAGAGUCCCUCGACGCGCAUCAGCAAGUUGGGAACGGGAAGAAGACACCGACAUGAAAGCCCUUGAGGAGUUGUAGAGGAAUUUGGUAUACCAAAAAUCGAGGAUGCCAAUCCGGUAGCACUUCAACCUUCUUGGCGAUUCGGGAAUGGAAUGUUUGCAGUCGUUUUUGUUGUUUGGCCUUCUUAUAACUGCUUUGAAGAGUUGUAAAGCACGGUAUUGGUGUUACGGGGCCGAUUCGAUGGGCUCAGAGACAGCUCAUUUUGUCUACUUGAUUUUGAAGGUAUUAGUUGUAAUCUAUCUAGAUGUUGGUUGAUGACUCACUAAUUCCACUAUUUUAUAUUCAUUAGAGGUUUGUUAUAUACUUGCAUAAUGUAGAUAAAUGUGUCUGUUUUUCAAGUUUCAACUAAUUCAUUUAGCUAUCCAGGUUCUUGGUUUUGUGGAUUAACUGUAAAAGUUUAUGCUGCAUACAAACAACACAAAGUUGAAAGUAAAGUAACUGUUUAGUUCUUUCUAUUUAUUAUAUAAUGAUCUCUUUUAUUUAUAUGUGGGGUUAAAGGAUUAAACCUAACCGAAAUGAUUGAAAAUGAAACUAUUAAAGGUGGAAAGUGAACGAAUGAUGUUGAGAUGACAGAAGAAGAAGCGCAUUAGCCAAGCAGCAGAGACUAUUUGCUAAGAUGGUUGAACAUAUCCCAUUUUAAACUAUAAAAUUAGGUAAGAUUUCUUAUCUACCUCACUAUCAUGUACAAAGUCUAUUUGGGUUAUUUUACUACUACAUGUUUGAAUUUCAAUGUGGUUUGUACUGUUAGUUUAUAUUUAUAUGCUUGCUUAUUAGUAAGAGUCAGUCAAAGACAAUCCUUCAUCUUAUUUGUUAGGCAUGUUGCAGCAAAUGGGUCAUGCAGAAUAUACAGUUAAAAAGGGAACGAGUCUAAUGGCUUAAUUGGGUCAAAAGUUGUCUAGAGUCCUAAAUUGAUAUACUCAAAACAUUAUAUUAAUAUGGUAAAAAUAUUGGUUUUGGGUUUUGUUUAUAGUCACAUGGAACGUGAUACGAAAACCGGUACGCAAUUCGGGCCUUUCUAAAAAUCAGUACGUUGGGGGUAGGUUCAGUUGGGAACGCUAAUUCGGUACAUGGUACGGUGUAUCCUAUCGCGUAUCACUGUAGUCUGGUACAGAUAUCAUAUACAUAUAAAAAAUAUAAAAUAGAUCUUUCAUUAAAUUUUCAAAAACAUAAUCAAAAUUCAAAACAGAAACUUCAUAAAAGAAAAUUCAUAAUCAAAACAUAAAUUUCAUAAAACUCAAUCUUACCGAAAGCCAUUUGCUAAUUUUUUUUUUUGAACGGCAAAUUUGGAUCACUGACGGACCACUGGAGUAUCAUCUUGACACCAGAGGAACCACCCGAUCAUAUCCAUCUCCACUAGGCAUAAUGCCACACCAGAGGAACCCCCCUUGUGAGAAUCGAACCCAGGACCUAUUGGUCCCAAAGCCUUAUCCCACCACCAAGAUGCCACUAGGCUAUAAAGCCAUGGGCAAGCCAUUUGCUAAUUGCUUACUGUUUUCUUUUUGUAAUUGACUUAAUUGAAUUGAAAUAUUGUGUGCUAGAUUGAUUGUUACAGCAAGUAUUUAUAGUUAGGGUAUUUAUAGUUAACAUUGCAUGGGUAAUAAUUAAAGUGUGUUAAUUGUAGUGUGACAAGUUAAUGGCAGGAAAAAAUUAUUCACUUACCUCUGUUAAUGAAAAGCGGGAAAAAGUUAAUGGCUUUUCAAAUUCCGGUACAUGAAUCUGGCCAUAGCGGAACGCCGACCGCUACAAACGGAAACGUGUUUUGGAUCGAUUAAAAACGUGUAUUUAACGAUUGGAACACUAUUAUAGUACAUAACCGGGAACGGUCCAAUUUAGCAAUCCGAUACGCGUACAAGAGGCGAUUGGGACAACUUUGUACCGCGAUUCGGUACGACCGAUCUGGUAGCGAUACGUGGGUCUUUUAUCGUUUCUUGUGACUAUGAUUUUGUUAUAGUAUUUAACAUUAUUUUUGUAUAUAAAAGUUGGAUACAACGUGUUAGCCAUAAGCUGACUUAGCAUAGUUAAAUAUUAUUAAACCAUUAUUGGACUACCUAAAUCAGACAUUAUAUAUAUUACAAAUAUGCAGACUUUUUUUUCUGUUGGGUAGUUUGGUCGAUUUCGACAGUUUAUGGACACUCCUAGGAUGUACAUGUUCAGCAUUAUGAGUAUUUGACAAGUUCGGAUUAUUUAAUGAAAGAUGUCCCAGGUUACUCUUUUUGCGAUAAACUUAAUUCUCCAUAUUUUUUAUUUUUGUCAGUGAUUUAUUAACAGGUAUCACUUGUAUCUUUAAGGAAAGAUGUCCUGGGUUACCCUUUUAUGACGGGUCAAAUAAACUUUGGUUUGUGUUUUAUCUCAAACGGGUCAAGUGAACUUUGAGUUUUUUUUUUCCAAAUGGGUCACACUCUUGAAAAACUUGAGUUAUUGUGGUGAGAACAUUGUUUUUUUAUAAACAUAACUACCAUUUAAAAUAUUUAUUUAUUAAUUAUGUGUCAUUAAUGCUAUGUGUAGUUACUGUAUGUUUUUUUUUUUGUUGAUUUUCAGCUUUGUUUUGAAGAAAAAUACCCAGCUCAAUCAAAGAGGUGGCAGGUCCGUCUUUCAUUAUUUAUACCAUACAACAUGACUGUUAAUGUGAAUGAGGUCAUCAGUGGUAUGCUUUGGGGUAAACUCAUCAGGAUGAUGACCACUAUUAUAUAAAAUAUAUGUAUGUUUUAUUGUAUUUCUAUAUAUAUUUGAUAUUGUAUAUACACCCAAGUGAUCAUUAUCUCAAUCAUAGGAGUAACACUAGGAUUAUAUAUAUCAUAAGACUAGGGUUAUAUACCAAGUUCAUUUAUUCCUAUAUGAAACAAACGGGUUGUUUGUGUCAAUUUUAUAGCAAGUUCAUAUUUUUCUAUCUGCAAAUAUUAUUUAGUUGCAAUAAACCAUUUUUUUGGACAUUUAAUAAAAGAUGUGUAAGUUAUAGCACUUUCUUUUGAGAUAAAAACAUAACCCAAAUCAACUUAUACAUUAAUGAGAUGGAUCGAAAGUACUAAUUACAUAUGCAGACACGUGGACUUGGGUCGAAGAUUCUUCAAGGUUCGUUCUCGGUCAGUUCGACUAUGAAAGUCUUGGGUCGAAGAUUCUUCAAGGUUCGUUCUCGGUUAGUUCGACUAUGAAAGUCUUGGAGAGAGCUCGCACGAGCAGGUGUAUGGUGUAUGACUGGUUGAAUUGGGUCAAAUUUAUACCAUUUUUUAUCAGUGUAUUAGUGUGUUGUACAUUUGUGUGAAGUGUACUGGCCUAACCUAUCGAUUCGAAUUGUUUGACUCUUUGAACUGCCCGAUCCUCCCAUUUUAUGACCUCUAGGAUGAUGUAAAGUUCAGUGAAAUUUGUAGCGAAAGUAAUUGAUCUUGUAGUGUUUCAUUGAAAUUUUGCAUUAUUGUUUUUUCAGGCAACCAUUUUUGAGGAAUUGGAAAACCGUUUGAAGUGUAGGUUAUGAUCGGGGG